AAUGAGAUAGUUUAAUUAGGUUAGAACAUUAGAAUCAUAAUCUAAAAAUUAUAGGUUCAAUUCCUAUUCUCAUUA
rnacentral:tRNA from 1 species